rnacentral:rRNA from 1 species
CCCGUCACACCAUGGGAGUUGGUUUGACCUUAAGCUGGUGCGCGAACCGCCCAAUCUUCGGAAAGGGUGGACGCAGCCAACCACGGUCGGGUCAGCGACUGGGGUG